ACACAGGGCGCACUUAUUAAGGUAUAUAUGUACAUACUUUGUUUUUCAACGUUGCAGGUUGUUGCACACUAAUCUACAAAUUUCACAAAGACUCAAAGACUCACCUUAAUGAAAAUGAAAACAGUCACGCCGAAUCUAGUCGGAUCCCAACUGUUGCAGUUGCACUCCAUGAAAGUCCACAAGUCAAAGACUGUAUUUGUAAUACCGGGUAAUCAAGGAGUAUAGGGGUAUAUUAAAUUCGUGUGGAUUCCAGAUGGAAGCGUUUCCAACCCCAUAAUGUAUAUUGGCGCUCCUGGCGAGGCCCCCGGUACGCCUAGGAAUAUGCUUAAAAACUAAUUAUUUUAGUUAUGCGAUUAGUUUUCCCAUGUGGCCCAUAUGGGGUUUCCGAAUAAAAUAAAUAAAUGAUUGCGAUUUGCAUUUGUGGCGAACCGGUGGAUCAGAAAACAAAGCCUCAUAUUUCGAACGUCUCUAAUACCAGGAUGCACACAUUUAAGAGAACAUAAGGUACAUAAGGUACUCAAAUACUGCAAACGGCAGAAACAAAUGCAUAAAUGCCAUGGCAAUUGGUGUACUUUAAAGGAAUAUUUCGUUUAUUUAUCGAAUACAUUGAAAUGCAUACACGAGUUGGUUUCCUCAAAUGGUUUUUUGUUUUGUUUUUUGUCGUUUUUUUUAUCUUUAUAUUACUUUGUAUUUGUUUAAAUAAAUAAGAUACAUACGUUUAAUCAUAAUAGCAGUAUUUAUCGUGCAAAUUUGAUAAGCAUAAUAAUGGUUUACGUUUGCUCGUUCGUCUCUUGCAAGUUUUUGUUUGUCUC